GACGAACGCUGGCGGCGUGCUUAACACAUGCAAGUCGAGCGGUAAGGCCCUCGGGUACGACGAGCGGCGAACGGGUGAGUAACACGUGGGUGGACUUGCCCUCCAGCUCUGGGAGUAAGCCUGGGAAACCGGGGUACGUAAUACCGGAUAUGACUCCAUGACGCAUGUUGUGGGGUGGAAAGACCUUGUGCGGCUGAGGAUGGGCCCGCGGCCGUAUCAGCUUGUUGGUGGGGUGGAUGG
rnacentral:rRNA from 1 species